rfam:Schistosoma curassoni strain Dakar, Senegal genome assembly, scaffold: SCTD_scaffold0000229
AUCCAUCUGAAGAGUCCAAAACAGAACGAAACGCGCAUCCCGGAU